CACAGCAGAGGAGCUGGCCCUGGAGUUGAAUAAAGGGAAGCCAGUGAUGGAAGGGACACAGUGAGGGAUAGCCACUGACUCUGGCCCAGCAAGAGAGACUGGCCUCUUCAUACAAGAUAUGGGCCUGCAAGUAGCUGUAAUCCUGCAUGAUGAGCGACCAUGUGUAUUGCAGCAUUGUACCAUUUCUUUGCAGGUUUGAUUGCACGUCCAGGGGUUUCCAAUGAUCCUAAUUGAAGCCUAACAAACAAAGUAACUGACUCCACUUCUGGUCUGCUCCGUUUUGUUAUAGUUUUGUCUGGAAUUCAUCUAGGUCCAUCUGUUAUAUAUUGUUUUGUAUUUGUUUUGCGGAUUUAGGUGGGAGGGGUUGGCCAUGGUACCUUGUACUGCUUGUCCACAUGGAGUGUUGUGUAUAAUACUUGGUUUUUCACAAGAGUGUCUGUGUCAAGGGUAUUGAGUGUGGGGUAGAAAUCUGAGGGUCUUUGCUGGUCACCUCCCUCUUUAUUUUGUUAUCUUAUUGUAUUGUACUUGUGUUGUAAGUUACUGGUAUAGAUGUAUGAUGUAUUGAGACCUUGUGUGACGUGUUGUAUCUGUUUUAUAAACUGUUAAUAAAGUGAUUUUUGUUUUAUAUUUGUUUAUCUUUUUGCUCACCCUGCCUUUGGCACGAACCUGUGUCCCUUUGCUUAGGACUGUUAUGUCCCGGUGUAUUCCGGGUGGCAUAGUCGACUAGGAUUUCUCUUAUUAUUGGUAACUCUCACAAACUCCCGACUGCUCCUUUGCCACAUGCCUCAUCUUAUUCGUUUUUGUUAAUAAACAUUUUGUAAGCUAGUUUGUCAUUGUAUCUUGUUUUAAUGUUGUUGUGCUUUUUAAUAAAAAAUAAAAAUGAAUUCAUCUGUUCUAGUCUUAAAAAGUGGAAGGUGUAUAGAUGUAGCCUAAGCAAAACAGAAAAUUAUCUUUUAUUGUAAAAAAAAAAAAAAAAGUUACAAGAUCGCAAAAGCAUCUGAAGCUGGGUUUAUAACACAGCAAAAGUGGGACUCCCGUUCACAAAAUUCAAAUAACAAAUAAUACUACUGAUGAAAUAAAACUGGUUGAAUGUUAACCACUUGUUUCCAUAUAGGCCUAACUAU